rnacentral:rRNA from 1 species
AUUGAACGCCGGCGGCAGGCCUAACACAUGCAAGUCGAACGGUAACAGGAAGAAGCUUGCUUCUUUGCUGACGAGUGGCGGACGGGUGAGUAAUGUCUGGGAAACUGCCUGAUGGAGGGGGAUAACUACUGGAAACGGUAGCUAAUACCGCAUAACGUCGCAAGACCAAAGAGGGGGACCUUCGGGCCUCUUGCCAUCGGAUGUGCCCAGAUGGGAUUAGCUAGUAGGUGGGGUAACGGCUCACCUAGGCGACGAUCCCUAGCUGGUCUGAGAGGAUGACCAGCCACACUGGAACUGAGACACGGUCCAGACUCCUACGGGAGGCAGCAGUGGGGAAUAUUGCACAAUGGGCGCAAGCCUGAUGCAGCCAUGCCGCGUGUAUGAAGAAGGCCUUCGGGUUGUAAAGUACUUUCAGCGGGGAGGAAGGGAGUAAAGUUAAUACCUUGGCUCAUUGACGUUACCCGCAGAAGAAGCACCGGCUAACUCCGUG